CUUUAGCCGGUAAGGACCCGGGAAGACGACCCGGUGGAUGGGCCGGAGGUGUAAGCGCCGCGAGGCGUUGAGCUGACCGGUCCCAAUCGUCCGAGGUCUUGACCCUU
rnacentral:rRNA from 1 species